rnacentral:rRNA from 1 species
UACAGAGGUCUCAAGCGUUGUUCGGAUUCAUUGGGCGUAAAGGGUGCGUAGGUGGCGCCGUAAGUCAGGUGUGAAAUCUCGGGGCUCAACCCCGAAACUGCAUUUGAUACUGCGGUGCUUGAGUACUGGAGAGGAGAUUGGAAUUUACGGUGUAGCAGUGAAAUGCGUAGAUAUCGUAAGGAAGACCAGUGGCGAAGGCGAAUCUCUGGACAGUUACUGACACUGAGGCACGAAGGCCAGGGGAGCAAACGGG